rnacentral:rRNA from 1 species
UACGAAGGGGGCUAGCGUUGCUCGGAAUCACUGGGCGUAAAGGGCGCGUAGGCGGAUCUUUAAGUCGGGGGUGAAAUCCUGGAGCUCAACUCCAGAACUGCCUUCGAUACUGGCGAUCUAGAGUCCGGGAGAGGUGAGUGGAACUGCGAGUGUAGAGGUGAAAUUCGUAGAUAUUCGCAAGAACACCAGUGGCGAAGGCGGCUCACUGGCCCGGUACUGACGCUGAGGUGCGAAAGCGUGGGGAGCAAACAGG